GUACCGGCCCUUAAGGGCGCUCGGUGUCUGGAGGUACCGGCCCCUAAGGGCGCUCGGUGUCUGGAGGUACCGGCCCCUAAGGGCGCUCGGUGUCUGGAGGUACCGGCCCUUAAGGGCGCUCGGUGUCUGGAGGUACCGGCCCCUAAGGGCACUCGGUGUCUGGAGGUACCGGCCCCUAAGGGCGCUCGGGGUCUGGAGGUACCGGCCCUUAAGGGCGCUCGGUGUCUGGAGGUACCGGCCCUUAAGGGCGCUCGGUGUCUGGAGGUACCGGCCCUUAAGGGCGCUCGGUGUCUGGAGGUACCGGCCCCUAAGGGCGCUCGGUGUCUGGAGGUACCGGCCCCUAAGGGCGCUCGGUGUCUGGAGGUACCGGCCCCUAAGGGCGCUCGGUGUCUGGAGGUACCGGCCCCUAAGGGCGCUCGGUGUCUGGAGGUACCGGCCCCUAAGGGCGCUCGGUGUCUGGAGGUACCGGCCCCUAAGGGCGCUCGGUGUCUGGAGGUACCGGCCCUUAAGGGCGCUCGGUGAGUUUUCAAAAGGUCCAUGAAAAAGCAAUGUGGAAAUAAUAAAUGCAGAUAGAAUAAAUGCAGACAGAAUAAAUGCAGACAGAAUUUCACACAGUUUGACAACUCAAAUUUGUAGUUUGCCAUAUUUCAAAACUUCAUGCAGUUACACAUUUUGGAAGUUAUGUGUCUGA